rnacentral:rRNA from 1 species
UACGUAGGGGGCUAGCGUUGCUCGGAAUCACUGGGCGUAAAGGGUGCGUAGGCGGGUCUUUAAGUCAGAGGUGAAAUCCUGGAGCUCAACUCCAGAACUGCCUUCGAUACUGGAGAGCUCGAGUCCGGGAGAGGUGAGUGGAACUGCGAGUGUAGAGGUGAAAUUCGUAGAUAUUCGCAAGAACACCAGUGGCGAAGGCGGCUCACUGGCCCGGUACUGACGCUGAGGUGCGAAAGCGUGGGGAGCAAACAGG